UACGUAGGGACCGAGCGUUUGUCCGGAUUUAUUGGGCGUAAAGAGCUCGUAGGCGGCUCAGUAAGUCGGGUGUGAAACCUCCAGGCUCAACCUGGGAGACGCCACCUGGAUACUGCUGUGGCUAGAGUCCGGUAGGGGAGCGUGGAAUUCCUGGUGUAGCGGUGAAAUGCGCAGAUAUCAGGAAGAACACCCGUGGCGAAGGCGGCGGUCUCUGGGACGGUACUGACGCUGAGACGCGAAAGCGUGGGGAGGCAAACAGG
rnacentral:rRNA from 1 species